CUCAGGCUGUGACCCUCUAGAGGGAAGCGCUUUCUGUGGUCUGAAAGAAAAGAAAGUGCUUCCUUUUAGAGGGUUACCGUUUGAG
ensembl:miRNA